GAAGCACCAGUGCUCGGAGCCGGAGCCCCGGCCCGGGGCUGAUGCUGGUGCUGUGCAGAGCCCGGGAACGGUGAGGAUCGGCCGCGGUUGGCGCCGCAACUGCGCACGGGGCCGGGUCUCUGGGGCUAUGGAGCCGGCAGGGGGGAUCCACCCGGUGCCGCAGUUCCCUGCGGGUACCAGGGCUCUGUCCUGCCCCGUGGAGCUGGUGCCUCGGCUCCGAGGUUUCCUGAGCUCCCGGCGCCCCGAGCCCUGGCCUGGCCCCCAGAACCCCGCACCAGUGUCACCCUCCCAGUCUCGCCACCGCGGGCAGGGGGAGCCCCGCUAAGUCCGCCGGUCCCUCUCCUCUCCUGUCCAGGGCUCCGGCCACGGGACCCGCCGCGGCUCUGCCGGUCCCGGGGGCGCUGAAUGGGCGCGGCGGCUCCGCGCAGGUACCGAAUAAAGGCUGGAAGUCACCGGCCGUGCUGGGGCUGCCCCGGCGCUGUCCACCCGGUCCUGCAGUCGCCUGCACUGGGGUCCCAGCCCCUGAGCGGCCCCAGCCGGGGAACAGCCUGGGAAUGGUCAUCUCGGCGCCUCCCGAACCGCCUCGUGCCCCCGGGACCACCUUGGAGGGAGCCUGCCCGUCUCAGGAACAGCGGUGGGGGCUCCACGGCCUGAAGCAGCGAUGGGGACUUGUUUGGAUCCUCCACGCACCGGCCACGUAAGCCUCACAACGCUGUGGCUGGGCUGCAGAACCCAACAAGGUAAGGCUUGACCUGCGUUCUGGGCCCUGAACCUGCCCUGAUGAGCUGAGGGGGGCCAAACCCUGACAGUGCCAGGCCACGGCUCUGUGUUCCAAGCACACACAGGGUUUGGAUUCUGUUCCUGAGCCCCCAAAAUGCAGGAUUUGGGCUCUCUGUUCAAGUACUUAAACUGCUUGGAUGAGCCUUGUUUUGCACUCCCAAAACACAGACCUGAAGUCACUUUCACAGCCUUAGCAUUGGCCCAGUGGGACUGGUUCCAAGUGCCAGCAACACAGAACUUUAUCCCUGAGGCCCCCAAACCCUCGCCUCCACCGAAAAACCACUGGAUUUAGUCUCCAUUUCUGAGCCCCAAAAAUGCCUGAUUUAUUAGUCCCAGUUUCAUAAGGUCGUGGAAUUGACUGUGGACAUCGCUGCAGAUGGUGACAGGGCAAUGUACUUCUUGCACAUUUGAUUCUUUUCUAAGAAUUUCCGUAACCUACCAAGAAAAAUACAUUUAGGAUUAAAAGGUAAGAAGCUCCUCUAUAAGCAGGUGCAAAUAUUAUUCCACUGUUUUCCCACUGUUUCACUCUAGUGGCUCAAGCUGAUCACUGGAAAAAGUUUGAGUAAGCACAGGUAAGGUAUGUUUUGGAAAUCCCUCUGCACAGGAAUGAGCAGGUUUGCUGCGGUGGGGCUGGGUCAUUAGAUCUCACUGUACCACAGGCACCAACAAAUUCCAAGUAGUAACUAAACACUUCCCACCCCCAUCCCCCAAAACAAAGCCAUGCGACACGGCCUAUCUGCAUUAUGUAUUUAUCCCAAUAAUGAAGUAUCCUAUUAUCCAAAUACCAGGUUUGUUGUGGUGCCUCCAGCUCGCCGACUGAUGCCCAUCAGCGCUCCAGGCACACCGGGGGCACAGGGAACACCCCCGGGUUGGCUCGGUCUGAUCCCAGCAAAAGGGAGGGAAGAUCACCAGCGCUGAGCAGUCACCAGCAGGUGAUGAUCCAGGCAUUCCUUGCCAUGUCCCUUAGCUCAGGAUAAGGUAGCUCCCACCUGCUGCUGCCAGGAAGAAACCACUUCCCAAGGACAUCCCCAGUGGGCUCCCCAAGGAUGACUGCGUUCCCAUUCCAAUGCCAGCUGCCCUGCUCUUUUCAGGGAACAUAACGCUGUGGCCCAUAUGUCACCUGCCCGUUGUCCUGGAUGAGGCAGAGCAGAGGACUGACUCCCCACUGUGGUAUUCACAUUCCCACUGCUGGAAUAUUGCAUGACAUCACUCGAAAACUGGAGUAAUAUGGUGCUGAAUGAAACUACUCAGACGUUGCUGCAGCUUUCAGCACAGCUCUUCUAUCAGCAUAGAGAAGCCAAGUCACAGAUGGCUUUUACACUGCUAUAAUUAAUAAUCAUGGUACCGUGUUAGUGUCAUCUUAGCAUAAAAAUGAAUCUAUAAAUUGCAUUCAGCAUUUUUAGAGCAUCUACACUGACUGUUUUUUGCAACAGAAGGGUACUGUUCUGACAGUAAGUCUUUUUGAACUGCAUUUGUAAAGAACAAUUUCAAUUUACUGUUUGUUUUCUUUAACAUUAUUUAUGAAGAGGCAUAGUUAAUUUUUUCUGUACAUCAGUUUUAGAUUGAGCCUUUACAAAGUUAGAUUACUUUUCUUAUUUUGCAGCAUGAUGUGUUAUAUCACUCCUGAGCUGGCCUAAACUUUGAACAGCCUGAUGCUCACAGCACUCCCAAGACCAUUUUCUUUGUGGGCAGCCCAAAACCCAUUAAUUAUUUAAUGAUUGGACCUGAGGAUCUUAAGGGUCUUUUCCAACCUAAAUGAUUCUGUGAUUCCAUAUUCCCAAACUCAUUUGGCUAUUGAGGAGCCCAGACAGACACAUUGUAUUAUGUAAAUCACAAUUAUUCCCCCCCCCCCCAGAUAGGCUAUUUCCUACUCAGUAUAAAAGGAAUGUGUUUUUCUACACAGAAGCUGUAAUUUACCUGAUGUCAUUUGCCAUCCUAAACCAGAGCAGUAAAAUGCAGCCAACAAGAAGCAAAGAAAAACAUGAAAUGAGUCCUUCACUGGCCCCUGGCCCCUAAGAGAUGCCUGGAGAGUUUAAGGCUACAACCACCUUAUUGUGAGGACUGGCCUGGUCUCUCUCAGGCUACAGCCCCCUUUUUGGGGGCGAGCUUACUGGGUCAUAGCAGAAAAUUCUCUUUAGUGAGUACUGAUUCCCCCCUCCCCCCCUUUCCAUGAGCAUCUGAUGGAUUGGUUUUGGAAUUCAUGGGAGCUUCCUGCAUCAGCAGCAGCCUGUGGUGCUGCGUUCAGUGGGUUAAGUACCUCUCAUUUUUCAAACUGUCACGUGAUAAUUUCAUCUGGUGACCCCAAGUUCUGGAACUGUGGGAAUCAGGGCACCAUUGUUCCUAGAGAUGUUCCCCGUCAAGAGCUGUGGGCCAUUUAGUUUUCCUGUUCCUUAUCCCAGUCAACCUUAUUCUCAGUCUUUUUAUCCAUAUUAGUUUUAUAUGCCAAACUCACCAGCUAAACCUGCAGUGCCGCUGUGGACAUACAUGUAAUAUACUGAGUUUGUUCAGGGUUUUUUCAAAGUAUCUUAAAAUUUCUUUCUCUGUUAUUCAGCUCCAAAAACACAUAUUACGAAAACACAAUGUACUUUUUCUGGAGCUCUUUUGACAAUAAGGUCCUUUCAAAACUGUUCUGUCUGGAGGGCACCUUUGCAGAUUUAGUUAUGCGCUCGAGUUCAUUGACAGAGUAAUCCUAAGUGACUGGGAAAACUUGGCAUCUGCCUGGAUCCACCAAUAUUUUUCAGAUAUGACAUCGAUCAGUUUUACAGCCUGUUAUGGCGGAAGCUUAAGCUGAGCUUUUCACAGACUCAGAAAUGCUCCUGGUGAAUAUCCCCAAUCACUUUUCAGGAGCAUCCUAUCAAGUUGGGUUGAUAAAGAUGAGAUUAACCUAUUAUGGAUGUCAUUUUUCUCAAACACCGAUAUUCUCAUUUGUCACUUGUCCCUGGCAAGAAGCAGGUUUGACCUUUAAGGCAGGAAUAUAUAAGAUGAUGUCAAAAUGAAUCAGAAACUGAAAUAAAAUAGAGGUGAUACAGCAUUUCCAAGACUGCAAGAGUGAGAGUUCACUCCCUAUGCCCCCCCCAAAGACCCUAUUCUAGAAACAGCAGUGCCAAACACCAACAAGUGCCUGCUUUACUUAAAUAUAUUUUGGUGAAUUUUAAUGUGCUUGCAAGGAAAGGGUGAACAAUAAGACAAUGACUGGUGCAGACAAAGCUCUCGCCACUGGCAGAGUGGCCUGACCUUCUGCAGUUUUGUCACUUUAACCUUGGAAGAUUUUGGCUUUGGGACUGCAGAUUGCUGUGUGCCUUGUUUAGUGAGUUUGUAAAGUAAGUUAAAUGAGCUGACAUGGAAGAACUCUGCUUGCUAUGGAUAUUACUGAGUUAAAUACACCCUCAGGUUUCUGUGGAUAUAAUCUGUUUCUCCUUGAAUUGAAAGAUUGAACUCUUUUUUUAUACAGCGCUCACUAUUACCUCAUUAUGUGGUACUUGGUAAGUGCAUGGUUUUGAAAAUUGUCUUACAGAAUACUUCUAGAAAAGAAUCUAUGAGAGAUUGAAA